GACGAACGCUGGCGGCGUGCUUAACACAUGCAAGUCGAGCGGUAAGGCCCUUUCGGGGGUACACGAGCGGCGAACGGGUGAGUAACACGUGGGUGACCUGCCCUCAGCUCUGGGAUAAGCCUGGGAAACCGGGUCUAAUACUGGAUAUGACUCCAUGACGCAUGUUGUGGGGUGGAAAGCCUUGUGCGGCUGAGGAUGGGCCCGCGGCCUAUCAGCUUGUUGGUGGGGUGAUGGCCUACCGAGGCGACGACGGGUAGCCGGCCUGAGAGGGCGACCGGCCACACUGGGACUGAGACACGGCCCAGACUCCGUACGGGAGGCAGCAGUGGGGAAUUUUUGGCAAUGGGCGAAAGCCUGACCAAGCAACGCCGCGUGGGUGAUGAAGUAUCUUGGUACGUAAAACCCUUUCGGCAGGGACGAACCUAAUGACGGUACCUGCGGAAG
rnacentral:rRNA from 1 species